UAUUUCCUGUGCUUAUCGUAUAUAAUGUGGGGCGUGCUUCAUAUUUCUCAGUUAGAACCGGAGUAAAUCUAACAUGAAGGUUUUGGCGUUCAUCAUGGCCAUUAUGGCCAUAAUUUUUGCUGUUGUGAGUGGCAUGUCAGUGAGACAGAAGCCUGCUGCACUGAGUGAAGGAGUGGAGCCGGCUGGGUGCCACGGCGGUGGUCGUCCUCAGUCCCCACCAGCAACAUCUGCCCCGCCGGCGGCUCCACCAGCGGCUCCUCCGGCAACUAACGGCACCGGCUAAGGAACUCGUGGACUACGGCUAAAUACUUGAAUCAGCUACUAUUGAAGAAUACAGAUUUCGUUUGGGAUCACACUCUUU